rnacentral:rRNA from 1 species
AGUGAACGCUGGCGGUAGGCCUAACACAUGCAAGUCGAACGGCAGCACAGUAAGAGCUUGCUCUUACGGGUGGCGAGUGGCGGACGGGUGAGGAAUACAUCGGAAUCUACUUUUUCGUGGGGGAUAACGUAGGGAAACUUACGCUAAUACCGCAUACGACCUACGGGUGAAAGCAGGGGAUCUUCGGACCUUGCGCGAUUGAAUGAGCCGAUGUCGGAUUAGCUAGUUGGCGGGGUAAAGGCCCACCAAGGCGACGAUCCGUAGGGGGUCUGAGAGGAUGAUCGUCCGCCUUGGAACUAAAACACGGUCCAGACUCCUACGAGAGGCAGCAGUGGGCAAUGUUGGACAAUGGGCGCAAGCCUGAUCCAGCCAUACCACGUGGGUUAAGAAGACCUUCGGUUUGUAAAGCCCUUUUGUUGGGAAAGAAAAGCAGCAGGUUAAUACCCCGCUGUUCUGACGGUACCCAAAGAAUAAGCACCGGCUAACUUCGUG